rnacentral:lncRNA from 1 species
UCAUCCUUUGGAAAGCGUCGCAAUAAGACACACACGCUGUGCCACCACUGUAGCUCCAAGGCCUACCACCUUCAGAAGUUGACCUGUGGCAAGUGUGGCUCCCUACUGAGCACAAGAGAAAGUAUAGCUGGAGUGCCAAGGCUAAGAGACGAAACACUACCGGGACUGGUCAGAUGAGGCACCUAAAGAUUGUCUACCGCAGACAUGGAUUCUGUGAAGGAACAACACCUAAACCCAAGAGGGCAGCUGUCGCAGCAUCCAGUUCAUCU